rnacentral:rRNA from 1 species
UGCAAGUCGAGCGGAGAUGAGGUGCUUGCACCUUAUCUUAGCGGCGGACGGGUGAGUAAUGCUUAGGAAUCUGCCUAUUAGUGGGGGACAACAUUUCGAAAGGAAUGCUAAUACCGCAUACGCCCUACGGGGGAAAGCAGGGGAUCUUCGGACCUUGCGCUAAUAGAUGAGCCUAAGUCGGAUUAGCUAGUUGGUGGGGUAAAGGCCUACCAAGGCGACGAUCUGUAGCGGGUCUGAGAGGAUGAUCCGCCACACUGGGACUGAGACACGGCCCAGACUCCUACGGGAGGCAGCAGUGGGGAAUAUUGGACAAUGGGGGGAACCCUGAUCCAGCCAUGCCGCGUGUGUGAAGAAGGCCUUUUGGUUGUAAAGCACUUUAAGCGAGGAGGAGGAGCUCUAGAUUAAUACUCUAGAUGCUUGGACGUUACUCGCAGAAUAAGCACCGGCUAACUCUGUGCCAGCAGCCGCGGUAAUACAGAGGGUGCAAGCGUUAAUCGGAUUUACUGGGCGUAAAGCGUGCGUAGGUGGUCUUUUAAGUCGGAUGUGAAAUCCCUGAGCUUAACUUAGGAAUUGCAUUCGAUACUGGGAGACUAGAGUAUGGGAGAGGAUGGUAGAAUUCCAGGUGUAGCGGUGAAAUGCGUAGAGAUCUGGAGGAAUACCGAUGGCGAAGGCAGCCAUCUGGCCUAAUACUGACACUGAGGUACGAAAGCAUGGGGAGCAAACAGGAUUAGAUACCCUGGUAGUCCAUGCCGUAAACGAUGUCUACUAGCCGUUGGGGUCUUUGAGACUUUAGUGGCGCA